rnacentral:rRNA from 1 species
UAAAAAUGUAAAAUGUUAAUUAAAAAAUUAAUAGUUAUGAUCUUUAAAUUUAAAAAAUUUGGCGGUAUUUUAGUCUAUUCAGAGGAACCUGUUCUAUAAUUGAUAAUCCACGAUUAGAAAUACUUAAAUUAAAAGUUUGUAUAUCGUUGUUUAAAUGAUUUUAUAAGAAAAAUAAUUAUUAAAAUAUUUAAUUAAAUAAAUAAUCAAAUCAAGGUGCAGUUUAUAUUUAAGAAGAAAUGGGUUACAAUAAAAAUUAUUUAUAUGGAUUAUAUUAUUAAAUUAAUAUAUAAAGGAGGAUUUGAUAGUAAAUAUAUAUAUUUAUAUAUAUUGAUUAUAGCUCUAUAAUAUGU